UCGGUGGAGCCGUCCUUGAAAUACCACCCUUGUACGUUUGAUGUUCUAACAUUGGCCCCUUAUCGGGGUUGUGGACAGUGUCUGGUGGGUAGUUUGACUGGGGCGGUCUCCUCCCAAAUAGUAACGGAGGAGCACGAAGGUUAGCUAAUCACGGUCGGACAUCGUGAGGUUAGUGCAAUGGCAUAAGCUAGCUUAACUGCGAGACAGACACGUCGAGCAGGUACGAAAGUAGGUCAUAGUGAUCCGGUGGUUCUGUAUGGAAGGGCCAUCGCUCAACGGAUAAAAGGUACUCCGGGGAUAACAGGCUGAUACCGCCCAAGAGUUCAUAUCGACGGCGGUGUUUGGCACCUCGAUGUCGGCUCAUCUCAUCCUGGGGCUGAAGCCGGUCCCAAGGGUAUGGCUGUUCGCCAUUUAAAGUGGUACGCGAGCUGGGUUUAGAACGUCGUGAGACAGUUCGGUCCCUAUCUUCCGUGGGUGUAGGA
rnacentral:rRNA from 12 species